CCCCGCGCGCGCGCGCACGCGCACUGUUGCUCCCCGCACCGCCUAGUUGAGCUCGGCCCGGCUCCCGCCCAGGCGGCGGCCGACGCGAAGGCUUGAGCGCCUGCCUCCGUCCCACAGCCGCCCGGCAGGUCCGCUGUCGACACUGCCGCUGAGGUUGGCCCAGCCCCGUAGGAGGCGGAGAGAUGCUAGGUUCUGUGAAACAGACCAUCCAGCUCUCGUCCUUGGCUCCUUUCCCCCGAUUUGUCCAGCCCACCCAGGGGAAGGCAGCACUUGGGUUAAUUGGCACGGCCUGCUUGCGCUAAAGAUAAUCACCAGGGCUCUUUGAAGAGAAUUACGUUUUGUCUGCCUGGACUGUGCUGCAUUUCAGACAUGCGGGUAACAAAAUAGGAAGCACCCCUGAAGGUGGGUCUUGGACUCUGAUCACAGAAGGGACAAGAGCAGCACAGUACCUGCAAAGGACUAGCGAGGAGUUACGUGCAGAGGAUGCGUCGUUUGGAACGGCACGCGCUACAGGGCUCAGUGAGGUGGUCAGAUUUUUAAAAUUCUUUUUCCUGGAAAUUAAUU